rnacentral:snRNA from 1 species
GGAUUAAUUGACAAAAAUCC